AAUAGAUACCCCGGUAGUCCAUGCUGUAAACGAUGAGAACUAGAUGUUAGGGGGCAUGACCUCUUAGUAUCGAAGCUAACGCGAUAAGUUCUCCGCCUGGGGAGUACGGCCGCAAGGUUAAAACUCAAAGAAAUUGACGGGGGCCCGCACAAGCGGUGGAGCAUGUGGUUUAAUUCGAUGCAACGCGAAGAACCUUACCUACCUUUGAAUCCACGGAACCUAGCAGAGAUGUUGGGGUGCCUUCGGGAACCGUGAGACAGGUGCUGCAUGGCUGUCGUCAGCUCGUGUCGUGAGAUGUUGGGUUAAGUCCCGUAACGAGCGCAACCCUUGUCCUUAGUUGCCAUCAGGUUAUGCUGGGCACUUUAAGGAGACUGCCGGUGAUAAACCGGAGGAAGGUGGGGAUGACGUCAAGUCCUCAUGGCCCUUACAGGUAGGGCUACACACGUGCUACAAUGGGCAGUACAGAGGGAAGCCAAACCCGGCGAGGGGGGAGCGAAUCUCAUAAAGCUGUUCGUAGUCCGGAUUGGAGUCUGCAACUCGACU
rnacentral:rRNA from 1 species